UUGUAUUAUACAAGUAAUAUAUAUACACUAAUACACGUACGUAACUCCUCUCGCAAGUCAGAGUCUCGCCCCUCCAUCAGCUCCUUGUCAAUCUCUGGGUUUCUCUCCCUACUUUCAAUCAAUUUCCCUUUUCUCAGUUAAUUGAGGAGAGUCGAAGGUACAAUCGCUCGCGAACUUGCACAUUCGAAAUUUCCAGAAGGGGCAAGCUGCAGUUUCUAGGGUUUCGAUUUCAGAAUGUUGAGAACCAUGUUGAAGAGGCUACGGUGGAAUAUUUAUUGCAUUCCACCGACUGGGUAUUUUUGCUGGAGUACACUGAACUUUUACUGGAGGAUCAAGGAGAUCAAUGAAAAAGAUAAGAGAUAUCAAGAGAAAGUUGAAAGGUUUAUCAACGGCACCCCCAGGGAUGAAGAGAAGGAGGAUUAUCAAACACUUUUUUACGGGACACACGAUGAGUCUGCAUGUGAAGGUGAGGAAUUCUAUGCGUGAAUAGAGGGAUGUUGCUGUUCAUCUAUUUGCAAUGGCUGUUCUGGGAGUCCUUGUUUUUAUGUUAUGUGUUGCUGCUUAUGCAUUAGGUGAUUAAUUCGAAGUCUGUUUGUUUAAACUUCCAGGUUGAAGAGCGUACAGAGGAUACCUAUUUACGUUCCAUCGAUUGGGUAUCUUUGCUGGAGUACACUGAAGUGUUACUGGGAGAUCAAUGCAAAAAGUUUGAGAUUUAAUGAGAAAAUGGAUAGGUUUAUCACCGGCACCCCCAAGGAUGAAGAGAAGGAGGAUUAUCAAGUAUUUGUAUACGGGACACACGACGAGUGGGAGAAGGUGUAUGAAUCUAUGCCUGAAUAGAGGGAUGUUGAUGUUCACUCUUUGCAAUGACUAUUUUGGGAGUCUUUGCUUUUAUGUUAUGUGUUCUUGCUUAUGCAUUAGGUGUUGUAUAAAUGCUUUUUUGGCAAACGCUUGAACCUUUUAUGGACGGAGGUAGUAUAAAGAGGGGACACAUUUAUUAAUUUCUACCAUAUAAGGGAUUGAAAUAUACUCCCUUUGUCCCUUAAUACUCGCACCAUUUUGACUUUUUGCACUAUUUACAUAAUUCACUUUGACCAUAUUUUUAUUUCCAGUAUAGGAAAACAAAUGUUAGUAUUGUUGGCUUCAUAUUAAUAUCUAUUUUAAAAA